GACACCAGUUUCAUGCAUACAUAUGAAUGAGUAGAACCGGGAUCAAUCAAAGCAAUAACAUUAGUAUCAUAAAGAGAAAAUGUACCGGUAAUCACAUCGAGUGAGGAAGCAUCUUCACGCGCUUUAGUAGUAUAAGUUCUAGCCGGAGCUCUUCCUUCAGAUCUAACUACUGCAUCUCUGGCUACAUUCUUACUGCUUGUUUCACUUCCAGCUUUUCUCGGAUACCUUCCCCUCGAGUCUGCACCACUAGCUUUUACAUUCUGAAAUUUUUCUUUCUC
rnacentral:lncRNA from 1 species